rnacentral:rRNA from 1 species
CAACCGGAGUUGAGGGGCUUUGGGUCCACCUCCCACCCGUGUUUAUUUACCUCGUUGCUUCGGCGGGCCCGCCUUAACUGGCCGCCGGGGGGCUCACGCCCCCGGGCCCGCGCCCGCCGAAGACACCCCCGAACUCUGCCUGAAGAUUGUCGUCUGAGUGAAAAUAUAAAUUAUUUAAAACUUUCAACAACGGAUCUCUUGGUUCCGGCAUCGAUGAAGAACGCAGCGAAAUGCGAUACGUAAUGUGAAUUGCAAAUUCAGUGAAUCAUCGAGUCUUUGAACGCACAUUGCGCCCCCUGGUAUUCCGGGGGGCAUGCCUGUCCGAGCGUCAUUGCUGCCCUCAAGCCCGGCUUGUGUGUUGGGCCCCGUCCUCCGAUUCCGGGGGACGGGCCCGAAAGGCAGCGGCGGCACCGCGUCCGGUCCUCGAGCGUAUGGGGCUUUGUCACCCGCUCUGUAGGCCCGGCCGGCGCUUGCCGAUCAACCCAAAUUUUUAUCCAGGUUGACCUCGGAUCAGGUAGGGAUACCCGCUGAACUUAAGCAUAUCAAUAAGGCGGAGGAA